rnacentral:rRNA from 1 species
AUUGAACGCUGGCGGCAGGCCUAACACAUGCAAGUCGAGCGAGCGGCGGACGGGUGAGUAAUGUCUGGGAAUCUGCCUGAUGGAGGGGGAUAACUACUGGAAACGGUAGCUAAUACCGCAUACUAUCGGAUGUGCCCAGAUGGGAUUAGCUAGUAGGUGGGGUAAAGGCUCACCUAGGCGACGAUCCCUAGCUGGUCUGAGAGGAUGAUCAGCCACACUGGGACUGAGACACGGUCCAGACUCCUACGGGAGGCAGCAGUGGGGAAUAUUGCACAAUGGGCGCAAGCCUGAUACAGCCAUGCCGCGUGUAUGAAGAAGGCCUUCGGGUUGUAAAGUACUUUCAGCGGGGAGGCGUUACCCGCAGAAGAAGCACCGGCUAACUCCGUGCCAGCAGCCGCGGUAAUUC